GACUGCUUUUGAAUGUCACUGGGAAGGUAUCCUCUUAUCUAAAUGGCAGGUCUAUUGAAAACACCACUGGAGGACCAUUUUAGAAGGAGACAGAGAGGCCCUGGACCCCCUAUACGUAAAAUGUAUGCAUGCGUGAUUGCCAAAACAAAGUCAUAUGGAAAUACUGAAAAAGCAACUGUCACCGACAUGAGGUCAAUGCUACAUUACGUAUAUCACCAACAGUCAUACAUCUGAGAUCAACCGUGGCAAUUUCAGGAUAGCCUAUCAAUUAAUAUCAUAUAAAGCUGUGCUUUUUUUCCCACGUGCCAAUCAUGCUGCUCCAUGCAUCAGAGGGAAGUGUGGAGAAUUGCUGCCUCAUCUACCCUAGCUAAAUUCAGAAUUUAAAUAUAUCUGUUGUUUGUGGCAAUGAUUCUGUAUUUAAGUGUAGCUGCCUCAUUUUGAAUAAACUGUGCUGAAUAA